rnacentral:misc_RNA from 1 species
UCCAAACUUAACAACAAAUACCAAAGAUCUAAUCGACCAAUCGGCAACCACUGAGGCAAUCGGGCGCCACUCAACUCAUAGCUUAACUGCAGCUUACGUUACUACGCGGUUCAGACAGAAAAAGCAAACGUGAUGCGCAGGCGCACGAAGAGAAAGAGAGAUAAUGCGAUUUCGGCGAUCUCAACUCUCAACGAAAAAGCCUCGGUGGUGGGGUCGACAACACACACGACAUACGCGGAGUGAAGGACGAGGCGAAAUAUCUCGUGCUUGGUGCCGUUGGUCGAUGGUUACCGUCGACGCCGCUGAUUGCCGUGUUCUGCUUGUGCGAUUUCGGGAGAGGGUGUCAGUAUUUUAAGAUAAUACGUACUACGAAGUGUGUGUGCGUGCGCGCGGAGUCGCGGCCGCGUGACGUUCAUGUUGUACACGAGGUUGGUGCGGAGGAUCUCGCGGCUGUCGCCCGCGCGAUAAGGAGGAGCUCUUGAAUAAAUGAUCGGCGACAGGACGGACGAGUGUCGUAGCACGUCGGAGACGGGAGGACACGAUCGGCAAGACUGCACGUUACAAAGGAGAGAGCGGGCCGAUGUUGUAACGUACGGGCCAAGAUGGAAGAGCGUAGCGUCCACAGCAGUAUCGGCGAUAUAAAUAGUGCGGAGUCAACCAAAGCACAACGCAAGAAAAGGAUAUGUUUAGUUGGUACAACCUGCAAUGAUGCUAUGCUUAAUGCUGCUGCUCAACAAUUCAAUGUGCCUGUACUUAUGUCUGAAACUGGCAUGGAAUAUGUUGAAGAUACUACCUAUAAUACUUACUUUGUACUCAAGCAAUUUGAAGGGCCAGAAUAUGAUGUUUUAUGCAAGAGUGCUCACAGAGUGCUGGGGCCUACAGCAUUGUUGCAACUGGUGGCAGCAGAGAAGAAAGAAUUGCCUAAUAUUAAAAGACCAAUGUACACACAAGCUAUGGUAGGCAAGAUAGUGCUAUUUAGUGGUUUCCGAACUAGAGAGGAUGAAUUGCGCAAAUUAGCUAAUAUGGUUCUUAAUAUGGGAGGUAGCAUUCGAAAAGAGGUGGGUAUGAAAGUGACGCAUCUUAUUGCAAAUCAUUGCAGUGGAGAGAAGUAUAGAUACGCUGAUACAUACGGAUUGCCUAUCAUGUCAACAGAGUGGGUAAUAGCAUUAUGGAAUGCCAAAGAUGAUAUCUCCUCUACCGCAUCCAAUGAGGAAUUGAUAACAACUUAUAAACUGAAACCAUUCUAUGGAGCAAAAGUGUGUUUCUUUGGAUUUCCUGAAGAAGAAAAGAAACACAUGUGCGAGGUUUUGGAGCAACAAGGUGGUGAAGCUACUGAGAUUGACGAUCCAAAUUGUACUCAUGUUGUGGUAGAUGUACCCGGUCUUUUCUACGAGAGAACCAACAAUGUGAACUUUUAUCUUAAAAAUACAUCCAAUCGUAGCCCACUUUCCUUGAUAAACUAUAAACCAGAAUCCUCUUUUUUAAGCAAUCCUUAUUCAAACGCGACUUAUAAUACAAUGAAAGAUGAUAGUAAUGUAUCGGGAUAUUUUUCGUUAAAAAAUAAUUCAUUAGAUUCAUAUAAUAUAGAGCGUAAUAAUCAGUGGAAUGAUCUUAUGUCUAGUAUUAGUCAAGAUUCCGUUAUUAAUGUGAAUGAUAAUUGUUCCGAUUUGCAAAAUUCAGUUAUUAAAUCUGGAAGUUUAUUUGAUUCUUACACAGAACAAACUGAUUCUGGUAUCGAUAUCUCUAGAUUAUCUAAUCUGUCGUCUGUAUUUUCUAUGCCAAAUAAAAAUUCAAUUCUAACAAUGACGAACAACAAAAACGUUAAAUUCCAUGUUUCUGAAAGCUCUUUAUUCGAUAAUAAAAAUUCUAUUAGUGAAAUUACAGCAAAUCUUAAUAAAACAGACGAUUUAAAUUCAUCAUUGUAUGAAAAAAAUAAUGCUUAUAUAUCACCAACAAAUAAUAAUGCAUUAUCUUUAAGAUAUCGUAAAAAUAUUCAUUAUAUACAGAAUAAUACUUCAAAAACUAAAAUAAUUUCCAAAAGAUACGUAAAAUGGAGAAAAACUAGUUCUUGUACAUUUGUUCAUAAGCUGGCAACGCUCGAAAAAAAAUAUAAAUUUAUGAAGACGCGCUCGUAUCCGAAUAUAUCGAAGCAUAACGAAGAACAAUAUAACGAUACGUUUUUGCAGAAUGCUCUAAGUGGAAAGAAUAAGCAAUUAUCUCAAUCACAUACAUCUAUUUUUUCAAAAAUCAGCCAUUUUUCUUUUUGUCCAACAUUUUAUAAUAACGAGCAAGAUAUUUCCAUCGAUUCAUGCUAUUCUCCUCCUGAGAAAAUCCUUUCGAAAAAAAAAUAUUCAUCCUUGUCAAAGUUCUUUCCGACACCUACAAAGACUUUAAACACUAAACAUAAUUUAAGAAAUACAUCUAUAUUUGAUGGAAAAGAUAACAAUGUACUAUCUACAUCAAACACAAAAAUCGAAUGCACAGAUUUGAAGAAGGAUAAACCACAGGACAAAUCAUUUGUGGUUGUAGAUGAGUCCAAUGUAAAUGUACUACCAAAUCUAGUUUCAGUAUCUGCUUUCAUAGUCAAAACUGGAUGGUUUUGGACGUCUGUACAGAAUGAGGCAGCUGCUGAUGAAAAAGAAUAUCUAUUUGAACAUUAUCUAGAAACGGUUCUGUCCCCUACUGCGACGAGUAGACGAGACAGUCAACAAAUUAUAUCGCAAAAUGUAGCAUUGGCAAAACAUCCCUGUUGGUUAGGCGGUCCAUUAUCUAAUUUGUUACAAAAUGGAGCGGAUUCACCAGCCAGCGUCAGUGGAAGCUUUCUGGAUUGCACAGCAAGUCCUGACAAACAAUUUUUAGAUGGUAUCUCCGAGGUAGAAGCUAUUGAUACAGAAAAUUUACCGAAAAUUAAAGAAAACUUGUCACAACGUCAUAAAGUAUUUCUUGAAUUAGUAGAAACUGAGGCCAAUUAUGUAGGUAUUCUCAACACAAUUAUGAUGCUAUUCAAAUUGCCAUUAGAAAAUCUUAUAGGCAGUGGGAGGGAAUUAUUAAAUAGCACUGAAGUUAAAAUCAUAUUUGGUAAUUUCCCUCCUAUCUACGACGUUCACAAGCAAUUAUUGGAGGCACUGCGUUGUAGUGCCGCUCAUUGGACAGAAGAUAUUAGUAUUGGCAAAAUAUUUUUGAAGUUUGAACCAGAUUUGGUUAAAGCAUAUCCUCCAUAUGUUAAUUUUUUCGAAAAUACAAAACAAAUGUUGGAAGAAUGUGAUCAAAAUAAGCCACGAUUUCAUGCCUUUUUAAAAAAUUGCCAGACAAUACCGGAAUGCGGUAGACAAAGUUUAAAAGAACUGUUAAUUAAACCAAUACAAAGGUUACCUAGUAUUAGUUUAUUGUUAAGCGAUAUUCUUAAGCAUACUGACAAAAGUAAUCCGGACUACAGCGCGUUGGAAGCUUCGAUUAGUUGUGUUAAAAAAGUAAUGACGUACAUAAACGAGGAUAAACGGAAAACAGAACGCCAAUUAGCAAUAUUUGAUAUCUUUAAUGAGAUUGACAAUUGUCCACCGCACUUAGUUUCCUCGCAUAGAUCGUUUAUCAGUAAAUGUGAUGUGAUGGAAUUUACGGAGGGGGGUCUUAGCGGACGAGGUGAUCAUUUAGUAUUGUUCCUGUUUACCGAUACUCUCGAAAUAUGCAAGAAAAGAUCGAAAGCCUUUAAUUCAUUAAAGAGCCCUAAUACUAUAAAUGGUUUACAAUCGAUUAAAUUAAGUCAAGGAAAGCCAUACAAGCAUAUCAAAAUGUUAUCAUUAAGUACUAUAAGAAAAGUAGUGGAUAUACGAGAAACGGAUGGAUGUCAUAAACUAUUUGCACUCGUAGUACGAGGUACUCAGGAACUGAAAGAAAAAUUCUUUUCGUUUAUUAUUACUGAUGAAGAAGUAAACAAAACGAAUUAUUUGCAAACUUUGUGUAGGCAGAUGGCUCUUACUAUCCGUGUAGCUGAUGCUGAUACAUUACUCAUUAGAUAUGAUUCGCAUCAGCUUGAAGUUGGUACUAGUGACGUGGCAUCAGGAACAUUGAAAAAAACGAUUAAGAGUCUAUUUCAUAAUUUUUACCUGGAGUAUAUGGACCCGUAUGUCUUCCUACUCAAUAGCAUGUGUGAAACCACGUUACAUGUCCCACUACCGUUUGCAUCUCGUACAAGAGCGAGAGUUGGCCGAGCGUUUAGUUUUAAUAAAACGCCAAGCAAACUAAAUAGAGCAAUGUCUACAAUUAUGUCGCCAUUUGGAGCAACACAAAAUCUUCCCUCGACAAAUCAGCAAAUAGUUCAGAUGCGGCUAGGUAGUUGCAACAACAUCAGCGAACUAGAUAAUGGCGGUUCAAGUUCUCCAAAUAGAGAGGACGUCCUAGUAGCGCCGAUGUCGGAUCAACCGACUCGAAAGGCUCUCAGUAUGGCUUCUCUGCGAAGGUUAUAAUUAGUAUGCAAGAAGUCAUACUUCCUUUUGCUACAGUCGUUUAGUAUUCUGAACAAAGAGACGUGCAUUUUUAAUAAACCACUGUGCAUUAUAUUUCUGGAAUAGAAAUUCAGUACAACUUUCUGAAUACCGUCUUAUCCUCGGAUACAUCAUUAUAAAAAUGAUAUUGUUAUUAGUGCCAAUAAUGUCUAGUUAUUGUUAUAUUACUAUUAUUAACAUCUUUUAUUUAUUUUAUGUAUUAUCUCUUGUAAUUAUUGUAUAUGCCUUCCUGUAUAAUUUUCACACUUGCCGAUAAGACGUGAUAAGAAAUCAAUUUUUUUAUAUAAAUACAGUUUGCUCUUUAUCGAGUCAAGUCAAUUAUUCUAGGAGAUAUAAAAUCAAAUUACAAUGAUUCAAAGAUACUUUUUUACGGACUUUCUAAUAAUUAUUUUAAUGGUAAAUAUAGCCAGACUUAUAUCAAUAGACACUGCAGGCAUGUGCAAAAAUUUUUCUUAAUAAAUGUACCAAUAAUUUAUAAAAGAAAUAGUAUUUAAUGUUAUAUGUGUUUAAUGUCGUUAAUUAAUAUAUCCCAGUUUCAUAAUCUUGAUACUAGACAAAGUAUUUAUUUAAAAAUGGAUUAGGCAAGUAUGCUAUCAUCUAAUCACAGCAUGAGAUAAAUAUCCUCAAUCCUAACUAAUAAGAAUAAUAAUUUUAUGUUUUCGACAUUACAGUUUUUUGCAAUUUUUAAUAUUUUACUCACUGUUUUUUCCAUUUCUGUUUUUUCAUUUAUUAGAAUUUGUUCAGCGGGAGUCAUACAGAGGAAGUCUGAUCUUUGAGCUAUAAAAAAUUUACAUGCGCCUUUAUUUCGCUUUAAUUGUUUAUCAACGAGGAUACCUGAUGCUGUAGAUUUUUAUACAUAUCGUGUACAAAUGUUAUUCAUAUUUUAAACCAAAUUAAGUUUUGGAACAAAGUCUGGUACAUGUGUGAAACAUUCAAGUUCAAAAAUGAAAGCAUUAUAAAUAUUAAUUGUUAAAUUUAUACUUGCUAUGUGCCAAUAUAUAGCCAUGUAUACGUAGUAACAAAAAUAUUGCCAGCUCUUAAUAGAUUUGUUUAUAUAAUAUAUCGUAUUUCAAUGACUUGCGAUUUAAUCGGAUUUAUUACAAGAAAAUGCAACAAUGCAAUUUAUUAAUGAUUUUAUAUGACACAAUUUAUUAAAAAUAAUAACAAAAAAUGUAAAAAUCUCCAAGUUUGCAAGAUAUAGGAUUGAAACAAAAAACAGAUUCUUAAAAUCUGUAUUAUCUUAUAAAUCUUUAUACAAUUUUGUAUCUUUGUACUUUUUUCAUAAUACUGCCUAAUUGACGAUCCCAAGAAAAAGUGAAAACUUGCCAAUAUUAAAAAUUAUUAUUAAAAGUAAGGACUUAAACAACGAAAAA